rnacentral:rRNA from 1 species
UACGUAGGGUGCGAGCGUUAAUCGGAAUUACUGGGCGUAAAGCGCGCGCAGGCGGUUUUGUAAGUCAGAUGUGAAAUCCCCGGGCUUAACCUGGGAAUGGCAUUUGGGACUGCAAAGCUUGAGUGUGGCAGAGGGGACUGGAAUUCCUGGUGUAGCAGUGAAAUGCGUAGAGAUCAGGAGGAAUACCGAUGGCGAAGGCAGGUCCCUGGGCUGACACUGACGCUCAUGCACGAAAGCGUGGGGAGCAAACAGG